rnacentral:rRNA from 3 species
AGAGUUUGAUCCUGGCUCAGGAUGAACGCUGGCGGCGUGCCUAAUACAUGCAAGUCGAGCGAACGGACGAGAAGCUUGCUUCUCUGAUGUUAGCGGCGGACGGGUGAGUAACACGUGGAUAACCUACCUAUAAGACUGGGAUAACUUCGGGAAACCGGAGCUAAUACCGGAUAAUAUUUUGAACCGCAUGGUUCAAAAGUAAAAGACGGUCUUGCUGUCACUUAUAGAUGGAUCCGCGCUGCAUUAGCUAGUUGGUAAGGUAACGGCUUACCAAGGCAACGAUGCAUAGCCGACCUGAGAGGGUGAUCGGCCACACUGGAACUGAGACACGGUCCAGACUCCUACGGGAGGCAGCAGUAGGGAAUCUUCCGCAAUGGGCGAAAGCCUGACGGAGCAACGCCGCGUGAGUGAUGAAGGUCUUCGGAUCGUAAAACUCUGUUAUUAGGGAAGAACAUAUGUGUAAGUAACUGUGCACAUCUUGACGGUACCUAAUCAGAAAGCCACGGCUAACUACGUGCCAGCAGCCGCGGUAAUACGUAGGUGGCAAGCGUUAUCCGGAAUUAUUGGGCGUAAAGCGCGCGUAGGCGGUUUUUUUAAGUCUGAUGUGAAAGCCCACGGCUCAACCGUGGAGGGUCAUUGGAAACUGGAAAACUUGAGUGCAGAAGAGGAAAGUGGAAUUCCAUGUGUAGCGGUGAAAUGCGCAGAGAUAUGGAGGAACACCAGUGGCGAAGGCGACUUUCUGGUCUGUAACUGACGCUGAUGUGCGAAAGCGUGGGGAUCAAACAGGAUUAGAUACCCUGGUAGUCCACGCCGUAAACGAUGAGUGCUAAGUGUUAGGGGGUUUCCGCCCCUUAGUGCUGCAGCUAACGCAUUAAGCACUCCGCCUGGGGAGUACGACCGCAAGGUUGAAACUCAAAGGAAUUGACGGGGACCCGCACAAGCGGUGGAGCAUGUGGUUUAAUUCGAAGCAACGCGAAGAACCUUACCAAAUCUUGACAUCCUUUGACAACUCUAGAGAUAGAGCCUUCCCCUUCGGGGGACAAAGUGACAGGUGGUGCAUGGUUGUCGUCAGCUCGUGUCGUGAGAUGUUGGGUUAAGUCCCGCAACGAGCGCAACCCUUAAGCUUAGUUGCCAUCAUUAAGUUGGGCACUCUAAGUUGACUGCCGGUGACAAACCGGAGGAAGGUGGGGAUGACGUCAAAUCAUCAUGCCCCUUAUGAUUUGGGCUACACACGUGCUACAAUGGACAAUACAAAGGGCAGCGAAACCGCGAGGUCAAGCAAAUCCCAUAAAGUUGUUCUCAGUUCGGAUUGUAGUCUGCAACUCGACUACAUGAAGCUGGAAUCGCUAGUAAUCGUAGAUCAGCAUGCUACGGUGAAUACGUUCCCGGGUCUUGUACACACCGCCCGUCACACCACGAGAGUUUGUAACACCCGAAGCCGGUGGAGUAACCUUUUAGGAGCUAGCCGUCGAAGGUGGGACAAAUGAUUGGGGUGAAGUCGUAACAAGGUAGCCGUAUCGGAAGGUGCGGCUGGAUCACCU